AGCUCCAACAGCACAUAUUAAAGCUGUUGUGGUCAAAAAACUCGUAGUUGCACUUUGUCGAGACUGUCUGGUCUACCCAUUGGGUGAGCAUCGGGCUUGGCUGGGGCAGAUUCUUGGGGGGUAUAGUUGCACUUGACUGUGUGGUGUAGUUUCUGAGACCUUUACUUUAAGAAAAAUUGAGUGUUUCUGGCAGGCUCAUGCCUUGAAUAUGGUGGUAUGGGAUAAUAAGGUAGGGCCUUGGUUAUAUGUUGUUGGCUUCUAGAAUUGAGGUAAUGAUGAACAGGGACACUUGGGGGAAUCUGAAUUUAGCUGUCAGAGGUGAAAUUCUUGGAUUUGUUAAGAAUGAACUAGUGUGAAAGCAUUUUCCCUGAAUGUUUUCAUUG
rnacentral:rRNA from 1 species